GAAAUGCGAUAAGUAAUGUGAAUUGCAGAAUUCAGUGAAUCAUCGAAUCUUUGAACGAACAUUGCGCCCGCCAGUAUUCUGGCGGGCAUGCCUGUUCGAGCGUCAUUACAACCCUCAGGCCCCCGGGCCUGGCGUUGGGGAUCGGCGGAAGCCCCCUGCGGGCACAACGCCGUCCCCCAAAUACAGUGGCGGUCCCGCCGCAGCUUCCAUUGCGUAGUAGCUAACACCUCGCAACUGGAGAGCGGCGCGGCCACGCCGUAAAACACCCAACUUCUGAAUGUUGACCUCGAAUCAGGUAGGAAUACCCGCUGAACUUAAGC
rnacentral:misc_RNA from 1 species